rnacentral:rRNA from 1 species
UGGGGAAUAUUGCACAAUGGGCGCAAGCCUGAUGCAGCAACGCCGCGUGAACGAUGAAGGUCUUCGGAUCGUAAAGUUCUGUUGCAGGGGAAGAUAAUGACGGUACCCUGUGAGGAAGCCCCGGCUAACUACGUGCCAGCAGCCGCGGUAAUACGUAGGGGGCUAGCGUUAUCCGGAUUUACUGGGCGUAAAGGGUGCGUAGGUGGUCCUUCAAGUCGGUGGUUAAAGGCUACGGCUCAACCGUAGUAAGCCGCCGAAACUGGAGGACUUGAGUGCAGGAGAGGAAAGUGGAAUUCCCAGUGUAGCGGUGAAAUGCGUAGAUAUUGGGAGGAACACCAGUAGUGAAGGCGGCUUUCUGGACUGCAACUGACACUGAGGCACGAAAGCGUGGGUAGCAAACAGG